CUGAAGGAAAAACCACCUACAAUCUUCGAUUUUUUUUUCUCUUGCAGUACUCGUCUAGUUGAUUCUCCGUGUUAAAGGUCGGACUUAUUUUGAGCAUCGGGUAAUCCCAACAGUGAACGAUGACGGCAGAGGUUUUAAGUAGAGCGUGGUUAAGAACGUGUGUUAGUUACUAUGGCAACAAGCUAGCAUCUAGAUCAGUCUGGCGUUAGUGAAAGCAGAAGUUAAAGACUGAAUAUAAAGUUUUAAUUACACUUCAGCUGUCUUUUUUGAUCAACAGAAUGCAUUUCUAAAAUUUAUCAACACAGAUUUUAAA